rnacentral:rRNA from 1 species
UACGUAGGCAGCAAGCGUUGUUCGGAGUUACUGGGCGUAAAGGGUGCGUAGGUGGCUCUAUAAGUAUGGUGUGAAAUCUCCCGGCUUAACUGGGAGGGUGCGCCGUAGACUGUGGGGCUAGAGUGUGGGAGAGGAAAGUGGAAUUCCUGGUGUAGCGGUGAAAUGCGUAGAUAUCAGGAGGAACACCGGUGGUGUAAACGGCUUUCUGGACCAUACCUGACACUGAGGCACGAAAGCGUGGGUAGCAAACAGG